UACGAAGGGGGCUAGCGUUGUUCGGAAUUACUGGGCGUAAAGGGCGCGUAGGCGGUGUGUCAAGUCAGGCGUGAAAGCCCCGGGCUCAACCUGGGAACCGCGCUUGAGACUGGCACGCUAGAGUUCGGGAGAGGAUGGUGGAAUUCCCAGUGUAGAGGUGAAAUUCGUAGAUAUUGGGAAGAACACCGAUGGCGAAGGGCAGCCAUCUGGACCGACACUG
rnacentral:rRNA from 1 species